rnacentral:misc_RNA from 1 species
UGAGUUCAUCUUCUCCAGGAU